CCUGACCUUACAUCCUGAUCUACAUCCUGACCUACAGCCUGAUCUACAUCCUGACCUACAUCCUGACCUACAGUCUGACCUACGGUCUGACCUUACAUCCUGACCUACAGUCUGAUCUACAUACUGACCUACAUCCUGACCUACAGCCUGACCUACAGACUGACCUACAGUCUGAUCUACAGUCUGAUCUACAACCUUCAAGCUCAAAACAUGUCAAUGAGGCUGAACGUGAUGGGUUUGGACCAGCCUUAAGCUGUAACUCAACUCCACUGACAGACAAAACCGACGUUGAGCUUUCUCUCCCAAUGACCGUAUCUGUCUCUCCGAAAGACACGUACGAGAAGCAGCAUCCCGGCGAGCAGCGAGGCCCAAAUCCACAAGAAUGACGAAAGCGCUGUUUCGACAUCCUGUCAAAUCUGAUUUUUCCCUUCCUGUGUCUCAUGAGGCAGACAUCUGAUCUCUCUCUCUCUCUCUCUCUCUCUCUCUUUUUCUUGAAGUACAAACAUCAAACACAAACUGUGCUUCUUCUUCCACUCCUGUUUGAAUCACACACACAGUGAGGUGGACGUUUCAGUCACUGAUAACACUCAGGAGGAAAGAGAGCCAGAGGAGAAUCGGACCUGACAUCAGGCUCGUGACCCGUCCUCUGAUCAGGAUCCGAGGUGUAACCGAUAGCAGGAACGCCGAGCACGCGGCUAACAUCCUGUUACAUCGAGCCGUGGAAAGCCUGAUUAAAGUAAUAACACGAACGCUCAUCAGGACGGGAUGCUACAACGUCUCCUCUGUGAGAAAACUUCAUGUGGCAAUUAAAAGGAAUUUCCAAAACGAA